UAACACAUGCAAGUCGAGGGGCAGCAUGGUCUUAUUUUGUUAAGGCCGAUGGCGACCGGCGCACGGGUGAGUAACACGUAUCCAACCUGCCGUCUACUCUUGGACAGCCUUCUGAAAGGAAGAUUAAUACAAGAUGGCAUCAUGAGUCCGCAUGUUCACAUGAUUAAAGGUAUUCCGGUAGACGAUGGGGAUGCGUUCCAUUAGAUAGUAGGCGGGGUAACGGCCCACCUAGUCUUCGAUGGAUAGGGGUUCUGAGAGGAAGGUCCCCCACAUUGGAACUGAGACACGGUCCAAACUCCUACGGGAGGCAGCAGUGAGGAAUAUUGGUCAAUGGGCGAGAGCCUGAACCAGCCAAGUAGCGUGAAGGAUGACUGCCCUAUGGGUUGUAAACUUCUUUUAUAAAGGAAUAAAGUCGGGUAUGGAUACCCGUUUGCAUGUACUUUAUGAAUAAGGAUCGGCUAACUCCGUGCCAGCAGCCGCGGUAAUACGGAGGAUCCGAGCGUUAUCCGGAUUUAUUGGGUUUAAAGGGAGCGUAGAUGGAUGUUUAAGUCAGUUGUGAAAGUUUGCGGCUCAACCGUAAAAUUGCAGUUGAUACUGGAUAUCUUGGGUGCAGUUGAGGCAGGCGGAAUUCGUGGUGUAGCGGUGAAAUGCUUAGAUAUCACGAAGAACUCCGAUUGCGAAGGCAGCCUGCUAAGCUGCAACUGACAUUGAGGCUCGAAAGUGUGGGUAUCAAACAGGAUUAGAUACCCUGGUAGUCCACACGGUAAACGAUGAAUACUCGCUGUUUGCGAUAUACAGCAAGCGGCCAAGCGAAAGCGUUAAGUAUUCCACCUGGGGAGUACGCCGGCAACGGUGAAACUCAAAGGAAUUGACGGGGGCCCGCACAAGCGGAGGAACAUGUGGUUUAAUUCGAUGAUACGCGAGGAACCUUACCCGGGCUUAAAUUGCAGAUGAAUUACGGUGAAAGCCGUAAGCCGCAAGGCAUCUGUGAAGGUGCUGCAUGGUUGUCGUCAGCUCGUGCCGUGAGGUGUCGGCUUAAGUGCCAUAACGAGCGCAACCCUUGUUGUCAGUUACUAACAGGUUCCGCUGAGGACUCUGACAAGACUGCCAUCGUAAGAUGUGAGGAAGGUGGGGAUGACGUCAAAUCAGCACGGCCCUUACGUCCGGGGCUACACACGUGUUACAAUGGGGGGUACAGAGGGCCGCUACCACGCGAGUGGAUGCCAAUCCCCAAAACCUCUCUCAGUUCGGACUGGAGUCUGCAACCCGACUCCACGAAGCUGGAUUCGCUAGUAAUCGCGCAUCAGCCACGGCGCGGUGAAUACGUUCCCGGGCCUUGUACACACCGCCCGUCAAGCCAUGGGAGCCGGGGGUACCUGAAGUGCGUAACCGCGAGGAGCGCCCUAGGGUAAAACUGGUGACUGGGGCUAAGUCAUAA
rnacentral:rRNA from 1 species